rnacentral:miRNA from 1 species
GUGUCUGACAUGGACU